AAUCCAAAGAUUUCUGGUUAAGGGAAGCAGCAGAAGAGAAGUAAAAUCCACUGUGGGUGAGGAAGGAUGCUAUCCGGACCAGCAUUCUGCCUGGCGGAGCCUGUAAUGAAGGGCAGUGCUUUUCAGCUGCGGUAAUAAAUGCAGCCGACGGGGCAGCCUCUUCUUGAUGCUCACAAAGGUCUUUGUUUUAAACUUUGCCUUCACCGAAGCCUUUUCUCAUCAUGCCAAGCCAGCAGAAGAAGAUCAUCUUUUGCAUGGCUGGCGUAUUGAGCUUUCUCUGUGCUCUCGGAGUGGUGACCGCAGUGGGAACCCCACUGUGGGUGAAAGCCACUAUCCUCUGCAAAACAGGGGCUCUGCUUGUCAAUGCGUCAGGGAAGGAGCUGGACAAGUUCAUGGGCGAGAUGCAGUAUGGUCUUUUCCACGGAGAAGGCGUAAGGCAAUGCGGGUUAGGAGCAAGGCCUUUCCGGUUCUCAUGAUCCUGUGGCUGUCUUGUCAUGAUACUGUUUGCCUCUGAAGUGAAAAUCCACCGCCUUUCAGAGAAAAUUGCAAAUUUUAAAGAAGGGACCUAUGCCUACAAAACGCAAAACGAAAACUAUACCACCUCAUUCUGGGUUGUUUUCAUUUGCUUUUUUGUUCAUUUUUUGAAUGGGCUCCUGAUACGACUUGCUGGAUUUCAGUUCCCUUUCACAAAAUCUAAAGAAACAGAGACCACUAACGUAGCUUCAGAUUUAAUGUACUGAAAAGCAAAUAUCGCCGUAAUUUCUCAAUAAGGAUAUGGACUUGCGUUGGCCACAUUUAGUCUGUGCCUUUAGACUUCUUAAGCACCAAGCCCUCCUUCUGUUACAUUUACAGGGCGUGUAGUAAGGAUUCAGGCUG
rnacentral:lncRNA from 1 species